rnacentral:rRNA from 1 species
UACAGAGGUCUCAAGCGUUGUUCGGAUUCAUUGGGCGUAAAGGGUGCGUAGGCGGCGCGGUAAGUCGGAUGUGAAAUCUCGGAGCUUAACUUCGAAACUGCAUUCGAUACUGCCGUGCUUGAGGACUGGAGAGGAGACUGGAAUUUACGGUGUAGCGGUGAAAUGCGUAGAUAUCGGAAGGAACGCCGGUGGCGAAAGCGGGCUGCUGGACCUCUACUGACGCUGAGGCGCGAAAGCCAGGGGAGCGAACGGG